GGGUUAUUAAUGAUAGCCCCGCAAGCUGUGGACUAAUGUUGUUUAGAGACAAGUUUGUUCUUGUGAGUCCGUCGAGCAUGGCUUUGUUUCUGUCUGGGGGCGGAUUUGGACGUUGGAAGCUGCAUGUUGGUUUUUUCACCACGUAUUCAGGCCCUGAUCUCUCCAGCAGCCGGUCCCCCGACCAAGACUUGCACCUGGGAUUCACGUCAACCGGGGCCACGCUGGGGUCUCCGAAAUAAAAAGAGCCAGGGGCCCCCGGACAAACUCUUGUAACGUACCUGGCUGCUGGUGGGGACAGCCAUUUAGGGGGUUGGGUGGAUGGAUGGAUGUGAUGGAGGUUUGUCCCUUCAGCGAGGGAACCGCUGGAAGUCUGGUUCUGAAUAUUAAGGUAAGGUUAAAUCCAAAGAAUAACACAGUGGCUUUGUGAGAGACGCAUUAGCUUUGCCGACAGUUUAUGCUAGCGCUGAAACAAGAAGACAUCUAUAACGCCGACCCUAAGACCGAGCCCGGCCUUACAAGAAGCCGAUGGUGGCCACUCCUUUGUUUUUGAUGGACCCUGUGUCUGAAGAAGCGGGUGUAUCAACUCUCUCACCUUUCUCCUCAACUUGGGCCCGUCGCUGAGGCACCAACGCAAAGGGAAGGGCAGGGUGCCAUGGCCCCUCAUACCACUCCAGCCUUUGGCUCUCUCUCUUUCUCCCUCUCUCUCUCUCUCUCUCUCUCUCUCUC
ensembl:lncRNA